CAAUAGCGUAUAUUUAAGUUGUUGCAGUUAAAAAGCUCGUAGUUGGAUUUCGGUUAAGAGCGACCGGUCCGCCGUUUGGUGUGCACUGGUUGGUUUUAACUUCCUGUAGAGGACGUGCUCUGGGUUUAACGACCUGGACUCGGAGUCCACGUGGUUACUUUGAAAAAAUUAGAGUGUUCAAAGCGGGCUUACGCUUGAAUAUUUCAGCAUGGAAUAACACUAUAGGACUCCUGUCCUAUUUCGUUGGUCUCGGGACGGGAGUAAUGAUUAAGAGGAACAGUUGGGGGCAUUCGUAUUUCAUUGUCAGAGGUGAAAUUCUUGGAUUUAUGAAAGACGAACUUCUGCGAAAGCAUUUGCCAAGGAUGUUUUCAUUAA
rnacentral:rRNA from 1 species